CUCCGCUUGGUGUAGUUGGUUUAUCACGUCGGGCUGUAAUUGCAUAUCUGUCACGUGACUUAUGGUCACGUGACUGAUUUUCCGAAACCUGAAGGUCCCUAGUUCGAUUCUGGGAGCGGAGA